rnacentral:rRNA from 1 species
CCUACGGGGCGCAGCAGUGAGGAAUAUUGGUCAAUGGGCGGGAGCCUGAACCAGCCAAGUCGCGUGAGGGCAGACGUUCCUACGGAUUGUAAACCUCUUUUGCCGGGGAGCAACGGGGUCCUUGCGAGUGCCCAAUGAGAGUACCCGGAGAAAAAGCAUCGGCUAACUCCUUGCCAGCAGCCGCGGUAAUACGGAGGAUGAGAGCGUUAUCCGGAUUUAUUGGGUUUAAGGGGUGCGUAGGCGGGCUGUUAAGUCAGCGGUCAAUUGUCGGGGCUCAACCCCGGCCUGCCGUUGAAACUGGCGGCCUCGAGUGGGGGAGAGGUAUGCGGAAGGCGUGGUGUAGCGGUGAAAUGCAUAGAGAUCACGCAGAACUCCGAUUGCGAAGGCAGCAUACCGGCGCCCUACUGACGCUGAGGCACGAAAGCGUGGGUAUCGAACAGGAUUAGAUACCCCUGUAGUC